rnacentral:rRNA from 1 species
UACGUAGGUGACCAGCGUUGUCCGGAUUUACUGGGCGUAAAGAGCGCGCAGGCGGUCGUUCAAGUCGAGUGUGAAAGCCCCCGGCUCAACUGGGGAGGGUCAUUCGAUACUGAUCGACUCGAAGGCAGGAGAGGGAAGUGGAAUUCCCGGUGUAGUGGUGAAAUGCGUAGAUAUCGGGAGGAACACCAGUGGCGAAGGCGGCAUCCUGGACCGGUAUUGACGCUGAGGCGCGAAAGCCAGGGGAGCAAACGGG